rnacentral:rRNA from 1 species
UGGGGAAUAUUAGACAAUGGGCGAAAGCCUGAUCCAGCCAUGCCGCGUGUGUGAAGAAGGUCUUCGGAUUGUAAAGCACUUUAAGUUGGGAGGAAGGGCAUUAACCUAAUACGUUAGUGUUUUGACGUUACCGACAGAAUAAGCACCGGCUAACUCUGUGCCAGCCGCCGCGGUAAUACAGAGGGUGCAAGCGUUAAUCGGAAUGACUUGGCGUAAAGCGCGCGUAGGUGGUUUGUUAAGUUGGAUGUGAAAUCCCCGGGCUCAACCUGGGAACUGCAUUCAAAACUGACUGACUAGAGUAUGGUAGAGGGUGGUGGAAUUUCCUGUGUAGCGGUGAAAUGCGUAGAUAUAGGAAGGAACACCAGUGGCGAAGGCGACCACCUGGACUAAUACUGACACUGAGGUGCGAAAGCGUGGGGAGCAAACA